UCUCUCUCUCUCUCUCUCUCUCUCUCUUUUAAAGAGAGAGGGGGGGAGGAGAGAGAGAGA
rnacentral:miRNA from 1 species